CUAUUAUAAUUAUUAUUCCUAAUAAAUUUUUUAAUGAAAAUUAAAUGAAAAAUUACAUUUACAUAACAAAAAAUAUAAAAAUAUAAAAAAUAUUAAAUUAUUUUUUUAUUCCUUCAAUCAUUUAAAAUUGGAAUAAAUAUAUACAACAAAUAUUAAUUCAUUUUUUAAAGCAAUCACAUCUAUAAAUUAAUAUCUAUUUCUCCACAUUCAUAACAUUAAUUCGCUUUCUCGUUUCACAAUAUCAUAAGAAGAAAAGACAGUAUCUUUCUUAUUUUCAAAGCUCAAUUUCAUCAAACAACCAUAUUAAGUCUUACCAAAUCGGUCUCAACUAAGGAUUAACUGAUGAAAGAAGAUAUCGAGAAAGGGAAAUGAGCACGAAGGUCAACGGGAUUCCUGUGCCAAAUAAGUUCUGAGGAAAAGAAGCAUUCCAUAUGGCGGUAUAACUUGUUGAUUGUGGAAAUUAUGUAUUAUUCUCAUCUGAUACUGCACGAUCAGUAAGGUGUAAUCAUUUUUUAUACUAUACGAAUGGAGAUGGUACAAAUAGCAUAACUGUACGGAUCCUCUGCUCGGGAGUGACGGGGGAGAGCAAGCCGACAUUUUUAUUCUAAUGCGUGCUCACCGACUGCGUUCACCAAGGUAAACGCGCUCGGAACGCUGGUGAAAAUAACAGAGCUCGGUACGUCAUAUGCCUCUCUAUCGACUACACUACUGAUUUUACCGUGUGGAAAUCGCAACAAUACAAGAAACCAAUAUUAGUUGGAUUAAUUUAAAAGUAAGCUUAAUAAAUGGGCAUUUAAAAAAUAAUUUUUCUUAAAUUUAUUUUCAAUUUAUUUUAACGUAAUUUUAGUUAAUAAAAAAUUUUAGUAGAGAAACUAUUUUUGAUAUAUAUAAAUGAUAAUAUUUUCUAUUUUUCAAAUAUUUUGUUUUAGCAUAAUUUUUAUAAAUUCUUAAAAUGUAUGAAAAAAUUUCUACAUAUUGUUUCUUUGAAAUCUUAUUUUUCAUCUUACGUAAUGAAAUACCAAUAGUGAAAAAUAUAUAUUUAUACAAGGACAUUGUAUUUUAUACACAAAAUAAUAUACAAAAUCCUUAAUAUAAUUCAAAGUUUAAAAGAUUAACGUGAUAUUUAAAACAAAUAUGAUAUAAAUUUAAAUUAUUAAGGAUGAAAUUUUUAUUUUACUUUCAUUUGAAAUCUCAUUUAUUUAAUAUUUUUUAAUAAGAUUUAUUAAAAGAUAAAGGAUAUUAUAUAAUAUACUAUGUAAUAUAUUUUAAUUUAGAAAGAUUUUCAAAGAUAUAAAAAUACAAAGAUAUAUAAUUUAUAUUACUUUUCUUAGAUUUUCUUCAGCAUCUAUAUAUUCACAAUUUUAUUUAUAUAUCUUCCAGAUAAUUAAAAUUAUUAUUAAUUGAUUGAUUAUUAAAAUUAUUAUUUAAAACAAUAUUGGAAUUAAAAGAUGCCAUUUAAUUGCUUAUUUUUAUUUACUAAUUAUUUAUGUUCCCAAAUAGAGCUAAAAAUAAAUCAUAGAAUGUUUAAAUAGUUACAUUUUGUUUCCUUAUAUUACAUAUUUGUUUUAGAAAUUUAAUAUUACAUUUGAAUUGCUGCAAUUAGAAACACAUUAAACACUUGAUACAUCAGACGAAAUUAUGAAUCUAAACAGAGACUUUGGAUUAAAAGCAAUACCAUGGAAUCGACUAUUUGAGAAAUCCUCGGCGUCAUAAUGAUGGAUCACGACGAGUUUUUCUUCUUGGACAUCGUCCAAAGAUGAUAUGUACAUUUCGACUGUCUCCGUGUUAAAUCGGAUAUUUGUGUCAAUUGAUGUUUUUUGACCAUGAAUAUUUUCUUCACGGUCCAGUAAAUUAAAUUUUACAAAGCAACGAUCUACUGAGUCGAUUCUUUCUUUCUUUCAUUAAUUUAUUCCAAAAUAAAAAUCUAUCAAUAUAAUCAAUAUGAUCUAAUGAAAGAAAAUUAAUAAUAAAAUUAAAAUUAAUAAGAUUAAUAAAAAUGCUUCAAUAUGUUCCAUAAUAAUAGAUGUUUUUAUAAAUAAAAAAUAGGUACAUAAAUUUUUAUAUAGAUUUUUUAAUAAUAAUAAUUUAAAAUCCAUCUAAAUUCUAAAAAAAAAAAUUCUGAGCUUAAUCGAAAUCUUUCAAUGGUAGAAGACUUUUAAUAUGUUGUUAUAUCUUACUGAAUCUUGAACAUAAUUUUCUCUCAAAUUAUUUGUUUAUUCCAAGAAAUGUUCUUAAUAGAAAAUUUAUUUUAUUUUAUUUAUUUUUAUUUUAUAAUAUUUUAUUUUAUAGGAUAAUAUAAUUUGAUGUAAGCGAUAUUUUUCUAACUGGAAGCAUAGAAUAUGUUAACUUUAUUUUCAUAUUAUGAUAUCAUAUAUUUUGAUGUCAUUUAAUGGAUGCAGUUGAUCAGUUUCAAAAAUAAAGAAGGAAUCAAUGAUAGAAUUAUUAUUAAUGAGACUCUAACAUAAUUCUCGUUCCUCGUUGAAUUAGCAAGAAAGUUUUCCAUAGAGACGAUUGGGUUGUUUUUCUUUGAACUUUACCAAAUAAAGAAUCAGAAGAAAGCUGUGUGCGAACGAAAUCGCAGUGUACUUACAUUUAAGAGAAAAACGUCUCGUCUCGAUUCGCGGUUGAUUCCCUAUAAAGGAGAGUGCAUACGAUUGCGCUGCUGUGCGUGCUCUCUAGCACGGCUAAACGCAAAACUCGUUGAGUCGACGACAAGCGCUGAAAAUGGGCGCGGCCCAGAAUGUCGAUCAUUCCAAACACACCACAAACUAGAAACACAUUUGGCCGAAAUCAAAUUGUUCGAGCGAUUAUAGUCUAACCACGAUAUGGAAACCUGAUAAUUUUAUAAUAAAUAUUUUUGAACAUUCAGAAAAGUAGUUCUGUUUAGUAACUGGAUUUUAAAAUUUUAGGUUAGCUAGUAAUCAAGAAGUAUGUUUUUGUUUAUGAUGAGUGAAGAUUUUACAAAGUUUAUAGACUAAAGAGAUUUAUCAUUGACAAUGAAUAUGUAUUGCUUUGACAUAUCUUCUAUUAAUACUUACUCUCAUCAGUUGAAAUUCCAUGAAAUUAAAUCAUUAUAUACGUCGCGGAAAAUUAAAGACUAUAUAACUGAAAUCAUUUGUUUUGAUGGUUACGUGACAAAUGAAAAUAAUGAUUUGUAAAAUGUUUCUUAUGAUACUAUUGCACGCAUAAAUGUAAUAAAGCAAAAUAAAAAAAAAGAAUGCUAGAAAAUUUUGUUAUAUUAUUUAUGAUGGAAUAAUAUUUGGAAUAAUAUCAUUAAUCCUUUUAAUGAAAUAAAAGAGACUCAGGCAAAUUUAAUAAUAAUUAUACAAAUCUUAUUUUAAAUGUUACUAUUUGUAACAUAAUAUAUAACGAUAUUGAGAAGACCGAGAUUUUAAAUGAUGUGUUAAUAUUGAAGCAUAGAAAAAUGAUAUAGUUUGCAAUACGGCUUCCUUGUAGAAUAUUUCAUAAAAGCUUCAUGAGAAUAUCUUCCACUCAACUGACACUCGCAACGCCCUCGAGAAUGAACUUGACCUUCGACCCGAACAUUCACCUGUGACAAGGACGACGGAAGUCGGAGAAAUUUUACUUCCUGUCAUAAAGAUGAAAACUAUUUUUUUAAAAAUCAAUCAAAUAUUCAUUGUAUUUUAUAUAUACCAUUUGAACAAAUAAUUUCAAUGAUUUAUUGCAGAUUAUUAUUUAAUGUUUUAAUAUUUUCAAGAAAUCAGAUUCAUAUUAAUUUGAUUGUUAAUAGCAAUAGAAUAGCAAUUUAUAUUUUCAUUGAAAAAUUACAACAGAAUUAAAAGAACAACGAAAUAAUGAAACAAUAAACAAACAUUUAAAUACAUUUACCGUAAUUCUUCCAUGUAACACUAUUAAUUGAAUCACGAAUCAAGAACUAUCUAUCUAUAUUAUUAGGAAUUAUAGCAUUUCUGAUUUGAUCCUUUUCCAUGCAACAAAUUUGAAUUUUUAAAAUGACGUUCCAUCUUGAAAUUCAUGAAAAUUCACCGUAAGUAUUUAUUGGUAUAUCUGAGAUGAUAGUGUUUCCUCUAUGAAAAUAUCGUGAAGAAUACCGUCGUGCUCUUCAAACGUUCAUCGUUCAAGAAUCAUAUCCUACAUACGGAUUUAUAAAAGUCAUCCCUGAGACAUCAUAAUGCGAUCGCACAACGGAAAAAAACAUUUCAAUUAAGAAAUCAGGAAAGAAAAUAUAAGUAAAAACGACAUAUGAUCUGUAAUAUAUUCCACAAAUAAUGGAAUUUGGAAGAUAUAAUAUAAAAGAUAUAAUAAAAACAUGGAAGAUGUGAAAAAGCACAACGUGGCAUCCUAAAUUCUUUCGAAAGAUUUCACAUCUGUAUCAUAAAAAAAACACUUGUAAAAAAAAUAAAUUCGAUUUACAAACCUGGAUUUGGGCGCGUUUAACCUCGGUGUAGAGCCAGUUGUCUGUAGAAAAGGCGAUUGCCAAGAGGCCAGUGGCAAUGAUACCGGUUAUGGUCGCGAGAGACAGCGUCACCGCAGAACAAGGCAUUUUGGUAACCUCUUCUUCUUCUUCUUUUUUUCCUUUUCUAUUUUUCGUCGAUUUUCUUUCUAGAUUCCACUCUGAUCAAGCGUUACAUUCACCUCACACGACACCACUGCAAGCUAUAGAUAUUGAGGAACAAGUAGUCGUUGUCGUCCUCCAGACUAUCGAGCAUCCGUGAAAAAGUGAAUCACGAAACAGAUCACAAACCAUUCAGAACGAAUUGAUCCAAAUGAGAAAGCUUUCAAUUCAAUGACCGAAUUUGAUAACCCGAUAUAUGAAGAGGAAACGAGGAAGAAGAAGAGGACCAAUAUUCAACGAUUAACGUCCUUCAGGGUGCCCGAUACUCCGUGAUACACAUUACUAUCAUUCUCUCCUACGACAACGACACUAACGGCCCGACUCAGCUUGGAGAAAAGCUGAGAACCGACCAAGGAGAGAGAACCGGACUCCAAGUGGGGAUGGAUGUAGCCUUAGGCAGGUAUAUUACCUGUGUUUUACCUUCAGCGGUGCUCAAUAUGCUACGUCCUUUGCCGAACUAUUUUCCUUUCGAGCUAAAGAAUUAUUCCUCUCUUAAUUUGUCAAAAUAAUAAAAUAGCAUUAGAUAUAGAUCUAAAAAUGAAUUCUUCUUUUGUGAAAUUAAUAUUAUAACGCGUUUUUUAAAUCUAAUGAACAAGUGAAAUGUGAUUCUCUUUUAGUAUUUUUGUGGAGAUUUCAAUGCCUGCAUUUCUUUGUAUAUUUUUAAAAUAAUAAAUAUCAAAUAAAAUUUACUUGAAUAAAAAAAAGAAA